AACGAACGCUGGCGGCAGGCUUAACACAUGCAAGUCGAGCGCCCCGCAAGGGGAGCGGCAGACGGGUGAGUAACGCGUGGGAACGUACCUUUUGGUUCGGAACAACUCCGGGAAACUGGAGCUAAUACCGGAUAAGCCCUAACGGGGAAAGAUUUAUCGCCGAAAGAUCGGCCCGCGUCUGAUUAGCUAGUUGGUGAGGUAACGGCUCACCAAGGCGACGAUCAGUAGCUGGUCUGAGAGGAUGAUCAGCCACACUGGGACUGAGACACGGCCCAGACUCCUACGGGAGGCAGCAGUGAGGAAUAUUGGACAAUGGGCGCAAGCCUGAUCCAGCCAUGCCGCGUGAGUGAUGAAGGCCUUAGGGUUGUAAAGCUCUUUUGUCCGGGAAGAUAAUGACUGUACCGGAAGAAUAAGCCCCGGCUAACUUCGUG
rnacentral:rRNA from 1 species